UCCCUGGUGGCUCAGAGGUUAAAGCAUCUGCCCGGAAUGUGGGAGACCCAGGUUCAAUCCCUGGGUUGGGAA
rnacentral:tRNA from 1 species